rnacentral:tRNA from 1 species
GCAGUGGUGGUUCAGUGGUAUAAUUUUCACCUUCCGUGUGGGAGACCUGGGCUCAAUUCCUGGCCAGUGCA